rnacentral:tRNA from 1 species
CGCUUAUAUUCUUGUUUAUAUAGUUUAAAAAACAUUACAUUUUCAUUGUAAAAUUGAAUUAAU